rnacentral:rRNA from 1 species
UACGAAGGGUGCAAGCGUUACUCGGAAUUACUGGGCGUAAAGCGUGCGUAGGUGGUUUGUUAAGUCUGUUGUGAAAGCCCCGGGCUCAACCUGGGAAUGGCAAUGGAUACUGGCAAGCUAGAGUGCGGUAGAGGGUAGUGGAAUUCCCGGUGUAGCGGUGAAAUGCGUAGAGAUCGGGAGGAACACCAGUGGCGAAGGCGGCUACCUGGACCGAGCAC